CACGUAGGGCGCAAGCGUUGUCCGGAAUUAUUGGGCGUAAAGAGCUCGUAGGCGGUCUGUUGCGUCCGCUGUGAAAACUCGGGGCUCAACUCCGAGCUUGCAGUCGAUACGGGCAGGCUAGAGUUCGGCAGGGGAGACUGGAAUUCCUGGUGUAGCGGUGAAAUGCGUAGAGAUCGGGAGGAACACCCGCGGCGAAGGCGGACCACCUCGGACCAGACCGUGACGCUGACGGCGACGAAGGCCGGGGGAGCGAACGGG
rnacentral:rRNA from 1 species